GAUGAAGAACGUAGUGAAAUGCGAUAAGUAAUGUGAAUUGCAGAAUUCAGUGAAUCAUCGAAUCUUUGAACGCACAUUGCGCCCCCUGGUAUUCCGGGGGGCAUGCCUGUUCGAGCGUCAUUUCACCACUCAAGCCUCGCUUGGUAUUGGGCAACGCGGUCCGCCGCGUGCCUCAAAUCGACCGGCUGGGUCUUCUGUCCCCUAAGCGUUGUGGAAACUAUUCGCUAAAGGGUGUUCGGGAGGCUACGCUGUAAAACAACCCCAUUUCUAAGGUUGACCUCGGAUCAGGUAGGGAUACCCGCUGAACUUAAGCAUAUCAAUAAGCGGAGGA
rnacentral:misc_RNA from 1 species